rnacentral:rRNA from 1 species
CUUCGCUUCGUGGGCGUCGAUGAACUCGCCGGUGAGAAGCAUCUCCAGGGCCUGCUUGCGGGAGAGGUUGCGGGAGACGGCAACCCCCGGCGUGGCGCAGAACAGGCCCACAUUCAUGCCGGAGGUGGCGAGCGUUGCUCGGAUUCACUGCGUGUAAAAGGCAAGUAGGCGGUUCCGUAAGUCGGGUGUGAAAUCCCACGGCUCAACCGUGGAACUGCAUUGGAAACUACAUGACUUGAGUACCGGAGAGGUGAGGGGAAUUCUCGGUGUAAGGGUGAAAUCUGUAGAUAUCGAGAGGAACACCAGUGGCGAAGGCGCCUCACUGGCCGGAUAUUGACACUGAGCUGCGAAAGCAAGGGGAGCAAACAGGAUUAGAUACCCUGGUAGUCCUUGCCGUAAACGAUGUGGAUUAGGUGUUGAGGACGUCGAUUUCUUCAGCGCCGCAGCUAACACAUUAAAUCCACCACCUGGGGAGUACGGUCGCAAGACUGAAACUCAAAGAACUUGACGGGGACCCGCACAAGCGGUGGAGCAUGUGGUUUAAUUCGAGGCUACGCGAAGAACCUUACCCAGGCUUGAAAUGUAUUUGACAGCCCAUGAAAGUGGGUCUUCUCGCAAGAGACAAUUACACAGGUGCUGCAUAGCUGUCGUCAGCUCGUGCUGUGAAGUGUUGGGUUAAGUCCCGCAACGAGCGCAACCUUUGCCCUUAGUUGCCAUCACGUCAUGGUGGGCACUCUAGGGGGACUGCCGGCGAUUAGCUGGAGGAAGGAGGAGAUGACGUCAAGUCAGUAUGGCCCUUAUGCCUGGGGCUACACACGUGCUACAAUGGCCAUUACAAUGGGCAGCGAGACCGCAAGGUGGAGCUAAUCCCAAAAAAAUGGCCUCAGUUCGGAUUGAGGGCUGCAACUCGCCCUCAUGAAGUCGGAAUCGCUAGUAAUGGUAGAUCAGCCACGCUACCGUGAAUACGUUCCCGGGUCUUGUACACACCGCCCGUCAAGCCACCUGAGUUGGGAGCACCCGAAGUCGUUGAUCUAACCCGCAAGGGGAGAAGACGCCUAAGGUGAGACCAGUAAGGAGGGCUAAGUCGUAACAAGGUAACCGUACCGGAAGGUGCGGUUG